rnacentral:rRNA from 1 species
CUACCUGCAGUCGAGCGGAAACGAGUUAUCUGAACCUUCGGGGAACGAUAACGGCGUCGAGCGGCGGACGGGUGAGUAAUGCCUAGGAAAUUGCCCUGAUGUGGGGGAUAACCAUUGGAAACGAUGGCUAAUACCGCAUGAUGCCUACGGGCCAAAGAGGGGGACCUUCGGGCCUCUCGCGUCAGGAUAUGCCUAGGUGGGAUUAGCUAGUUGGUGAGGUAAGGGCUCACCAAGGCGACGAUCCCUAGCUGGUCUGAGAGGAUGAUCAGCCACACUGGAACUGAGACACGGUCCAGACUCCUACGGGAGGCAGCAGUGGGGAAUAUUGCACAAUGGGCGCAAGCCUGAUGCAGCCAUGCCGCGUGUGUGAAGAAGGCCUUCGGGUUGUAAAGCACUUUCAGUCGUGAGGAAGGUAGUGUAGUUAAUAGCUGCAUUAUUUGACGUUAGCGACAGAAGAAGCACCGGCUAACUCCGUGCCAGCAGCCGCGGUAAUACGGAGGGUGCGAGCGUUAAUCGGAAUUACUGGGCGUAAAGCGCAUGCAGGUGGUUUGUUAAGUCAGAUGUGAAAGCCCGGGGCUCAACCUCGGAAUAGCAUUUGAAACUGGCAGACUAGAGUACUGUAGAGGGGGGUAGAAUUUCAGGUGUAGCGGUGAAAUGCGUAGAGAUCUGAAGGAAUACCGGUGGCGAAGGCGGCCCCCUGGACAGAUACUGACACUCAGAUGCGAAAGCGUGGGGAGCAAACAGGAUUAGAUACCCUGGUAGUCCACGCCGUAAACGAUGUCUACUUGGAGGUUGUGGCCUUGAGCCGUGGCUUUCGGAGCUAACGCGUUAAGUAGACCGCCUGGGGAGUACGGUCGCAAGAUUAAAACUCAAAUGAAUUGACGGGGGCCCGCACAAGCGGUGGAGCAUGUGGUUUAAUUCGAUGCAACGCGAAGAACCUUACCUACUCUUGACUCCAGAGAACUUUCCAGAGAUGGAUUGGUGCCUUCGGGAACUYUGARACAGGUGCUGCAUGGCUGUCGUCAGCUCGUGKUGUGAAAUGUUGGGUUAAGUCCCGCAACGAGCGCAACCCUUAUCCUUGUUUGCCAGCGAGUAAUGUCGGGAACUCCAGGGAGACUGCCGGUGAUAAACCGGAGGAAGGUGGGGACGACGUCAAGUCAUCAUGGCCCUUACGAGUAGGGCUACACACGUGCUACAAUGGCGCAUACAGAGGGCGGCCAACUUGCGAAAGUGAGCGAAUCCCAAAAAGUGCGUCGUAGUCCGGAUUGGAGUCUGCAACUCGACUCCAUGAAGUCGGAAUCGCUAGUAAUCGUGGAUCAGAAUGCCACGGUGAAUACGUUCCCGGGCCUUGUACACACCGCCCGUCACACCAUGGGAGUGGGCUGCAAAAGAAGUAGGUAGUUUAACCUUCGGGGGGACGCUUACCA